rnacentral:rRNA from 1 species
UACAGGGGGUGCAAACGUUGCUCGGAAUCAUUGGGCGUAAAGCGCACGUAGGCGGUUCGUUAUGUCGGAUGUGAAAGCCCUUGGCUUAACCGAGGAAGUGCAUCCGAAACUGGCGAGCUAGAGUACGAAAGAGGAUCGCGGAAUUCCCGGUGUAGAGGUGAAAUUCGUAGAUAUCGGGAGGAACACCGGUGGCGAAGGCGGCGGUCUGGGUUGAUACUGACGCUGAGGUGCGAAAGCGUGGGGAGCAAACAGG